CAAUAAGGUGUUUUUAAGUAAUGUGGCAAACCGAAAAUACACCUAGGACUGCAUGUAGCGCUGAGAUGUAUUUUCAAACUCAAACACGUUAAAACCAAGAGCAAAUCAAGAAUUCCGUGGUUCAUAUUGAGUCAAACCCGAAGUGAACCAAAGCAAGACAUACAAUUAUCUUUUAGGGUUUGUAAGAGAGGACAACACCGAACACAGUAGAGAGAGAAUGGCUAUGGCGGGGUUGUAAAGUUUUUAGAGAGAGUACCCAUUAGAUAGAGGAGUACUCCAGUGCCAACGCAGUCAGAAAGAGGAGUACCCAUUUGAUAAUCUCUUCGAAACCCAGAUAGGGAUAUUUUUUUAUAUGGAUUUUCUGUUAAAAUUGGGGAUUGGGUCAGGUUUAGAGGAAGAGAAAUGGUUGGGUUGUUUUCUGGUCACUGGUUGUUGCAAUUUCAUAUCCUUUUCGUGCAACGAAUUAAAAUUAGCCUACUCUUUUCAUUUCCAUAAAUUCUCAAUAGAAUUCAUUCUUGGGAUUUUAUAACAGAAAUCUCACGUUCUAACAAAGAAUAUUUUUCUGUUUGAAUAUCUGCAAUUUUGCUUGAAAUGAUAUUUUUUUAGUAUAAUUUUUAAGAUUACUUUUAAGGUUUUUUACUUAAUUGUUUAUCUUUCUUCAUUUCCUUUCCUUUUUCACUUACCUUCUUGUUAACAAAAAUCAAUUCCGUGAUUGGUGUCUAAUUGCUGGGAUGACUGGUAAAGGAGGAGAAAUCUACGGGUUAGCAGAAUUCUUGAUAACAAUGGUGAACAUUGUGAGGGAGCUAUUGCCAAAAUGUGAAUAUCUUAACUGUGUUAUAUAUGUCUGUAAUGAUUCUUGAUCUCAAGCCAAUCAAGCACCAUUCAUAUAUAAUUUCACAUCUGUUAGGGACUCGAUCUGUUGAUGUGAGCUAAGAAUCGGUGCUGUUAACUGGGUAUUGGUAAAAUAUUUGUUUUAUUAUUUUCGUGCUUCAUUGAGCUAGCAUUUUUGGGAUAAACAUGCAGUAACAGUAUGAUUUCUGGUUUGCGACAAUAUCCGGAUACGGCAGAGGAAUUUAAACACUUAAUUGCAAUAAAAAUUUUGAAGAUGCAGCACUAAAAGUGUAUUUUGCUUGGGAACUUGAUUGAAAAUAUAAAGUUAGUUGCAUCUAAAACAACAAAAUAUACAACGCACAAACAUGACCAAACAUUCGCAUUAAUUGCAUAUACAAAAGGCAUAAAAAACAAGCGAUGACCCUAAUUAAAUUCUUUAUAUAUUUAUAUAUAUAUAUACUAUUUAUUUUUUUGAAAGAAAUAUAUAUAUAUAGAAAGAAAGAAAUCAGCAAGGAGCAAAGCGGUCCAUAAGCAUACAAAUGGUGGCCUCAGACAUUGAAUUACAACUUUCUUUAUUAUGAACCACUUUGCUCUCUUUCUCAACUUCCUUUUCUUCUUCUUUAGCUUUUGACAACAGCAACAAUGGCCUCUUUGAUAUGACCUUCUCUUUAAGCUUAGCUAACUCCUUCACACAUGUUCCUACAACUGAAGACAUUUUUGCCUUUCGUUUCUC